ACGGGAGGCAGCAGUGAGGAAUAUUGGUCAAUGGGCGGAAGCCUGAACCAGCCAAGUCGCGUGAAGGAUGAAGGUAUUAUGUAUUGUAAACUUCUUUAGCUGUGGAGCAAUAAUCUCCAUGUAUGGAGAGACGAGAGUACACAGAGAAUAAGGAUCGGCUAACUCCGUGCCAGCAGCCGCGGUAAUACGGAGGAUCCGAGCGUUAUCCGGAUUUAUUGGGUUUAAAGGGUGCGCAGGCGGCUUUCUAAGUCAGUGGUCAAAUCGUGGUGCUCAACGCCAUCCCGCCAUUGAUACUGGAGAGCUUGAUUGCGGUCGAGGUUUGCGGAAUUCGUCGUGUAGCGGUGAAAUGCAUAGAUAUGACGAAGAACACCGAUUGCGUAGGCAGCAGACCAGGCCGUAAAUGACGCUCAUGCACGAAAGUGCGGGGAUCGAACAGGAUUAGAUACCCUGGUA
rnacentral:rRNA from 1 species